GGAGAGAUGGCAGAGUGGUCGAAUGCGGCGGUCUUGAAAACCGUUGUCUCUUAACAGGGACCGGGGGUUCGAAUCCCUCUCUCUCCG
rnacentral:tRNA from 1 species